rnacentral:rRNA from 1 species
CAGGGAAUAUUAGAAAUGGACGAAAGUCUGAUCUAGCAACACCGCGUGUGCGAAGAAGGCCUUCGGGUUGUAAAGCACUUUUUGGAAGGAUUAGGAAGGAAUGUACUUCCAGAAUAAGUCUCGGCUAACUACGUGCCAGCAGCCGCGGUAACGCGUAGGAGGCAAACGUUAUCCGGAUUUACUGGGCGUAAAGCGCGUGUAGGUGGUUCUGUAAGUAGGGCGUGAAAGCUCCUGGCUCAACUGGGAGAGGCCGUUCUAAACUGCAGAGCUAGAGGAUGGUAGAGGGAGGUGGAAUUCCGGGUGUAGCGGUGGAAUGCGCAGAUAUCCGGAGGAACACCAGUGGCGAAAGCGGCCUCCUGGACCAUUCCUGACACUCAGACGCGAAAGCUGGGGUAGCAAACGG